CGGCGACAACAUAAGAGAGGGUGAGGAGAGAGAGAGAGAGAGAGAGAGAGAGACAGAGAGAGAGAGAGACAGCCAGAGGGAGAUGCAGAGAUAUUUGGGGGCUACUCAGGGCUGAACAGACAAGCAUGAAACUCAAAUUCAGCUUAGCAACGGCCCGGGCAUGGAAUGCUGACCUUGGCGAGCGAAUCGACUGAGGGUUCAGUGGCUGUCCUGAAACGAACUCUAGGCCGUCAGCCCACCACGCGAGCCAUAAAUCAGGUAUGGACCUGCACGUGUCGUGCGGACGCCAGCAGCGAGCUUCACGGUGCUGUGGGACCUCAACCCAAAUAGUGUAAAGCGAGCAGUCCCAAACUUUAUGU